rnacentral:lncRNA from 1 species
GUUGUAUUUUAAGCAGUUAAAUUACAUCCAACAGUGAAAGAAAACAAUGGUACAAAGAAGAAACUAAACUCCAGUUCCAGUAACAACAAACUACCUAUUUCCCCUAGAUACAUAACUAGUAUGAUCCCAGUCUGGUCAAGUUUACCAAUUUUCCCUUGAUAAAGUAACAUGUGCUAUCCAACGCAAGAUUCUCUCACAAUUUCUGAAUAUACCAAUACCAAAUCUUUUAUGGGUGCGCAAUGUAAAACCCGUAACUGGAAUAGACAGAUCCCCCCUGAUCUCUGUUCUCACGACUUCUGAGACUACCUAUCAUUGGAAAGCUCUGAGGUCUUAACAGGCACUGUUUUAGCAACUAUGAAACCAAUGGUCCUAAUAUCCUAAAGGAGGCAAAGAAGAGUACUCCUAAACAAAUCCAAUCCCAGCCAGACGCAAACACCAUGAUAGACAUGAAGAGUCAUUUAAGUACUUCCAGAUUUUCACACAAGUAGACUUAAAAAGGAAAUGAAACCCAGAAACUUGUUUUUAUGUGCAUACAUUCUUCGUAUCCGCAAUAGAAAAUAAUAAACACUUAGUUAAACACAACUCGUUUCUCAUCACUAAUGAAGUUCUAAGUUUAUAUAUCAAAAUAAUCCUAGGGCUACAGGUCUUGUUACAGUUAGAAUA